rnacentral:lncRNA from 1 species
AGGAGGGGCUCGGUGCAGGCUAAUCCACGCGCGGAGUCCAGGGUCCCUCUACAGCGGUUUCCCUGGGAACCACUCUGGCUGGAAAUCCUGUGGCUGCCUUUGGAGGAUGUGAACUCUCCUGGGAUGGACCAGAAGUGCUCUGCGCUCUGCUAUUAACCCCAUGAAAAGAGUUCUUUCCAGAUAAGCGGAUACUUGCGGCUGCGUGGAGUGGAUCCCAGUCCCAGUUUGCUACCAGCAAUCCCAACCCAAGACACAGAUUUCUGGGUGCUGGUGUGAUGCUAUGUGUCGUGAAAUCCAGCCGAUAGGAGAUCCUUCACACAGUCUCUGUCUUUUCCGCCUCUCCCCUCCCAGUCGCUGUCUCCAGGUGUGCUCUAGCUUCUGUUCCCACCCACCUCUGUGUGAGGCAAGUCGAACCGCGUCAGCAGACAAGAACUGGGAAGGGUGAGCAGAUUCAGACCAGGACACCCCACAUAAGGACUGUGACAACUAGUCACAGAGCACAGAGCAUGAGUUCUCCAUGCUAAGGAGGUAUCUUAGGAUGGGCAGGCCCUGAGGGUUUAGCCAAUAAGCUUCCCUUCCAGGACAUUUCUUCCUGCAAAAGGGAUUUAAUCUCUGGUCCACCCUGAGUACGCUUUAUGCAUCCAUUUUCCAUUGCCAAUAAACAGUUUGGACAAGC